ensembl:snoRNA small nucleolar RNA, C/D box 113-7
UGGAUCAAUGACAAGUACGCGUGGGGCAUCUGAAUCAGACGUUGGGUUAAACCCAGUCUGUAACUCUGAGGCUCAC